UGCAGGUGCAUUAUCAAUAAAAGAUCGCGAAAAAUACUUUAAAAAGAUCACUUUAACAAAUGGCAAGAGGCUCCCAGAUCCCUGUACACUUACCGAACGGGACUAUGACGUUAGGAGGUACAGGAGUUAAUUCAGAGCUGAUAAUAAUCCUGUUCAGCCUCUAAACGGAGCCACUAAAUGAUUCCUGUCUGUGUGUUUGUGUCAACAAACCGGACUGAAACGUUCUGCAGUCGGCUGUUUACGCUGCUGGUUUCCAUGGCGACGCAGGAACCAGGCGGUGAGUCAGUGGAACACGCUGACAGAACGUUAAGAAAAUUUUAACGUUUAAUCAAGGUAGUGUCUACAGAUACGGACCCGUACCCGUAGCCUGUGGCCUACGGAUACGGCACUUUCCCUUUCAACUCGGAGUAGUUUGACCCGGAGUUAAGCGCGUGCAACGCAACUCUGAAAAGACAGCAUCAAUGGAGCCCCGAUUCGACGAGUCACCAUGGCAACGGGGAAGUGAAAGGCUGCGUUUUUGAACUGGAAGUUUUUAACGCGCUCAUAUGGCGAGUUUGAACACGUUUUUAGAAAGAAGUGCAACACCGCUGCAGCUGCAAAAGAGAGAGAGACGGCGUGGAGAACAGCCCGGAUCAAUGCAGCAUGGCUGGACAGCAGCAGGAUGGUUCCUCAGCUUCCACUGCACAGACUGACACAGUGAGAUGGAUGUUCAGGAAACACCAGAGCUUCAUUCUGUGGAAUUCAUGUGCAACUGUAUAACUGAAUGUCCUCUAUGUAUUCCCAGUUAUCAGUAAAACGGAUUUACAAACUGCAUUUGCUGAGAAAAAUUAAAAUGAAAAAAAAAAACAGAUAGGAGGGCAGAUCUGGAAAUUGAAAUACUGGAGCACAAGUUAGAGGUGGUGAUGGUCACAGGUGAAUUAUGUUAACUACUGGAACAUUAACUGAACUAUCUUUUAUUUGUAGGGAAUAAAGCAGACCAAAUGAAA